CAGGGACCUUGCUGCCCCUCGUCUUGUGGCUCCUCCCUCGGGGACUCAAUGUUCAUGGAUGAGGAUUUUUGGAGACUUCUUGGGCCCCCAGCAGGUGAAGGACCUGCUGCUGGCAGCCGUGGAAGGGCUGAGUGGCGGCGUGGAGGCUCAGGGGAAGGACUCCGGGGAGACGAUGCAGCUGCCCUCAGAGGUCAUGCUCAACUCCGUGCUGAGGUGGUACCACCUCAGAACACUGGUGGUGGUAAGGCGGGGCACCAGCUGCUCUCCCGGGCAGCCCUGAGAACUCAGCUGAGCUGGGGGCGGGCAGAGAAGAGGAACCCCUCACUCCCAAGAGCAGCACCCCUGUGCCCACCCUGGCCCUCUCUCCUACCCGGUCCUCUCUCCUACCUCCACCUUCCUUCCUUCUCCUACCUUCGGCUUCUCCAAUGAGCCCUCCUUCUGUCUGCUCC
rnacentral:lncRNA from 1 species